UACGGGGGGAGCAAGCGUUGUUCGGAUUUACUGGGCGUAAAGGGCGCGUAGGCGGCCUCCGCAAGUCAGUUGUGAAAUCUCCGAGCUUAACUCGGAAAGGCCAACUGAUACUGCGGGGCUAGAGUGCGGAAGGGGCAACUGGAAUUCUUGGUGUAGCGGUGAAAUGCGUAGAUAUCAAGAGGAACACCUGCGGCGAAGGCGGGUUGCUGGGCCGACACUGACGCUGAGGCGCGAAAGCUAGGGGAGCGAACGGG
rnacentral:rRNA from 1 species